AUUGUCCUUGAAAUCAACGAAAUAGAGAAAUCAGGAAGGUUUCUAUGUCGAUCACAACCAGAGAACAGAAAUGGUCAGGGAUCAGAAAAGCAAACAGAGCCUGCCUGAGGCACUACAGAUUCUGCUCUUUACAAGACUUACAAGCAAAACAAGAUGUUAAUGCAGGAAACAGUUCCCAGCAUAAGGGUCACGUUACAACUGCAAUUGUGAACGUGAACAAGGAAGCCUGGCCAGGACCCCAUGAGCUGUAAUGAAGAUAGAAAAGUACAAGACUUGUUGGGUGAAGUCUGUGUCACUAACCACAUCAAAAAUAGACAGCUGAGGCAGGAUUGACCUACCUGCUGCAGCAGCUGAAGCCAGGAAUGGUAACUUUGGAUUCAUGACCUCACAGGUACAAUGGAAUCACCAACAGAAGGGUUAGGAAAAAAGGAAUCAUUCAUCUCAGGGCAGUUGGCAGACCACAAAGCAGCCGUGGCAGCCCUCCUGUGCUCCUUUUGCUUGGCUGUGUCCAUUGCCCAGGACCUAAGGGUACAUACAGACAUCAUGUUUCUACAAGCCUCUCCUUUAAAACCCUUACAAAGAAGAAAGCUGUAACCAUACACAGAAGUUAACAACAUCUCUCUGCUUGCACAGGAUAGAUCAGGAAAGGAGUUUUAUCCUGUUUUGUAGUCCACAGUGCUACGCAUGGUGGUCUUCAAGUCUUAAAGAAAACAUCACCAUCUUGAACUACUUAUAGUUACCUUAUUUUGUUUGUUCUAAGAGAAACUUAUCUGACUCAUAAUGCUUGGGCUAUCUGGAAGCAGUCUACAGUGUGCACUCUGAGUGCUUUGACCUUUUCAUAUAUUGGAGUUGAUUGGUUAGGCCAUCCAUCUUCUUCACUUGUUGAAACCCUCACUUAGCAAAGAAAGGCCAACAGCCAAGUCUGUGUGAAAAAUAUGGUACAAAAGGAAUCAAUUAAGAACAGAGCAUAUUUCAUUGUAUUUCCCAUAGACAUGGACGAUUAUGCAAAAUUUGAAAAGUUGGCUGAGGUGCCUGGGCUUCACAAUAGCUGACA